rnacentral:rRNA from 1 species
UGAGUAACACGCGGAUAACAUGCCCUGGGGUGGGGGAUAACCUCGGGAAACUGAGAAUAAUACCCCAUAGGUUUAGGGUGCUGGAAUGCUUCUAUGCUGAAAACUCCGGUGCCCCAGGAUUGGUCUGCGGCUUAUCAGGUUGUAGUGGGUGUAACGGACCCACUAGCCUAUGACGAGUAUGGGCCUUGAGAGAGGAAGCCCACAGAUGGACUCUGAGACAUGAGUCCAGGCCCUACGGGGCGCAGCAGUCGCGAAAACUUCACAAUGGGAGAAAUCCCGAUGAGGGAAUACCAAGUGCCAGCACUUUUGUGUUGGCUGUUCCCCUGUCUAAAAAACAGGAGAAGUAAGGGCCGGGUAAGACGGGUGCCAGCCGCCGCGGUAAUACCCGCGGCCCGAGUGGUGGUCGAUAUUAUUGAGCCUAAAACGUCCGUAGCCGGUCUCAUAAAUCCUUGGGUAAAUCGACCAGCUUAACUGUCCGAAGUCCGAGGAGACUGUGAGACUUGGGAUCGGGGAGAGGUCAGAGGUACUUCUGGGGGUAGGGGGUAAAAUCCUGUAAUCCUGGAAGGACCCACCGGUGGCGAAGGCGUCUGACUAGAACGAAUUCGACGGUGAGGGACGAAGCCCUGGGGCGCAAACGGGAUUAGAUACCCCGGUAGUCCAGGGUGUAAACGCUGCGGGCUUUGGUGUUGGGGGUCCUUUGUGGUCGCUCAGUGCCGGAGAGAAGUUGUUAAGCCUGCUGCUUGGUAGAGUACGUCCGCAAGGCAUGAACUUA